CGAGUCUUAACUGGGCGUUAAGUUGCAGGGUAUAGACCCGAAACCCGGUGAUCUAGCCAUGGGCAGGUUGAAGGUUGGGUAACACUAACUGGAGGACCGAACCGACUAAUGUUGAAAAAUUAGCGGAUGACCUGUGGCUGGGGGUGAAAGGCCAAUCAAACCGGGAGAUAGCUGGUUCUCCCCGAAAGCUAUUUAGGUAGCGCCUCGUGAAUUCAUCUCCGGGGGUAGAGCACUGUUUCGGCUAGGGGGCCAUCCCGGCUUACCAACCCGAUGCAAACUGCGAAUACCGGAGAAUGUUAUCACGGGAGACACACGGCGGGUGCUAACGUCCGUCGUGAAGAGGGAAACAACCCAGACCGCCAGCUAAGGUCCCAAAGUCAUGGUUAAGUGGGAAACGAUGUGGGAAGGCCCAGACAGCCAGGAUGUUGGCUUAGAAGCAGCCAUCAUUUAAAGAAAGCGUAAUAGCUCACUGGUCGAGUCGGCCUGCGCGGAAGAUGUAACGGGGCUAAACCAUGCACCGAAGCUGCGGCAGCGACACUAUGUGUUGUUGGGUAGGGGAGCG
rnacentral:rRNA from 1 species